GCACACGCAUUCACCUUUCUCCAGUCUGUAUCUCAUGACCUCUGCUUCUUUCCCCCUUCCUGCAACCUGUGACGCUCAGGCUUGCUUCACUAAAUCCACACCCAUGGCUGGAGCUCUUCAGCUAUUACUAACCCAAAUCAAGUUCCCCAGAGCACUAGUUGCUAUCUGUCUAUUUUCCCUCUUCGAUUCAGUGUUCUAGUGCCCUACAUUUUGGGAACCAAGCUCCAGUGCCCGCCAAGAUGGUGCCCAUAUGUGCAGGCACGGCUGUGUGGUGGCACUGGGCCGGCGCCGACUCUGUGCAGUCACUUCUUACUGGAGCAACACAUGCAUUCCCUGAGGACCAAGGUGUCAGCUCAUGCAGAAGAUUUUAGCAUUCGAUACCUGCAUAUCCUAAACUACACAAUGGUGACCUACCAUUUGGCUGCAUAGGCUACGCUACAGGGGGAAACCCAGCCAGACUCCACAAUUGUCAUUGAUCUUCAGCUGUCCUGAUUUUAUGAAUGACACACCUUUUUGUUCUUUAGACAAUAUUAUCAAACAGAACACAUCCAUGUAACAAUGAGCAACAUGGCAAUACUUUGAGUGAGGUUUGGGAUGGUCAAGAGCUUAUGCUCACUUUUAGAAGAAAUGUGUCUGAAACUUUAUGAGUAUGACGUGGGAUUUAUGCAGCAUGGUUGAGGGAAUCUCUCUCACUUAUGAGGAAGAUCAAAUGGUAUGGAGCUUUACUUCUAAUGGUUUUGUAGUGGAGUUUUCCCUAUGUAUAUGUAUUCAAUUUGGAAGUUGGUAAUACCCCCUAGGGUUUAAUUCUUCUUAUGGCUGUUGUCACACAAUAGAUUACUGACUAGGGACAAUAGUCUAGCGAAAAGAAGGGAUGUCAGUGACUUGACCUGCCUUUUCUGUACAGAGAAGGAAUCAAUUGCCCAUUUUUUCUUUGAGUGCUGUGUUGCUGUUGAUGUGUUGAAUCUGAUGUCUGAGGUUCUGGAGUUAGAUAUCAGAAAAGACUACGAGUCUGUAGGGUGUGGUUUGGUUGGGCGUGAAGAUGGUGUUGAUCCGGAUUUUAUGAUUGCUAAGGAGGUGGCUGCCGCUGUACAUACAGGAAACUGUAGUGUUGAUGGAAGGAAUUAUCAGCAAGAUGGAAGAGAUAGCAAGUUGUUCGGCUCAGGUCACAUGGAAGAUGAAAAGUGCAAGAUUUCGUCAUCACAGUUGGAUCCAUAGGAUGCUCAGUCCUUAGUCUUCUGCACUGCCAGGAAUAAUAGUUUUCAUGCACUUGAGUUUGUAAUGAGCACCUAAGCUAGACUUAAGUCUGCACUUCGCUUAUGGUGAGAGCGCCAAAACUUUGUCUUUACUCGAUGGUUUGCUUUUUGAAAUAUAAAAGCAGGGGUGACCUUUUGUCUAAAAAA